CAGCCGCCACGGUAAUACGUAGGGUGCAAGCGUUAAUCGGAAUUACUGGGCGUAAAGCGUGCGCAGGCGGUUAUAUAAGUCAGAUGUGAAAUCCCCGGGCUCAACCUGGGAACUGCAUUUGAGACUGUAUGGCUAGAGUGUGUCAGAGGGGGGUAGAAUUCCACGUGUAGCAGUGAAAUGCGUAGAUAUGUGGAGGAAUACCGAUGGCGAAGGCAAUCCCCUGGACCUGUACUGACGCUCAUGCACGAGAGCGUGGGGAGCAAACAGGAUUAGAUACCCGCGUAGUCCCUGUCUCUUAUAC
rnacentral:rRNA from 1 species